AGUCUGGCCUGGGUCGUGGCGGCGGAGGGUGACGCCCGCCAGCACCGCGCCGCCCUUAACACAACCCACGGAUUCUACCUGCGUCGCUGAUCGUGGAGCGCAGCGCCGCCUCACAAGCGCAGCAGGGUUCCAGGGACGCCUCACCCGCCGGCCCAGCGCCCCAGGGAGCCACGCGGGGCGCCUGGGUUUUGGAAUGACGGAGAAACACAGGAAGGAAACACUAAAAGAGGAGAUAAUGGAGGAGAGAAAACACACAAAGGAGGAAGGGAGAACGAAGAGAGAGAAGAGAGAGAAGAGAAAACAACGGACAAUGGAAACACAGAGGAA